UACGGAGAGUUUGAUCCUGGCUCAGAACGAACGCUGGCGGCAUGGAUUAGGCAUGCAAGUCGAACGGUGCAGCAAUGCACAGUGGCGCAAGGGUGAGGAACGCGUGAGUAACCUACCCUCAAGUUGGGAAUAGCUUCUGGAAACGGGAAUUAAUACCGAAUGUGACCUUUUGGAGGCAUCUCUGAAAGGUUGAAGGCCGCAAGGUCGCUUGAGGAGGGGCUCGCGUCCCAUUAGCUAGUUGGUGAGGUAACGGCCCACCAAGGCGAAGAUGGGUAGCUGGUCUGAGAGGACGAUCAGCCACACUGGGACUGAGAUACUGCCCAGACUCCUACGGGAGGCUGCAGUCGAGAAUUUUGGGCAAUGGGGGCAACCCUGACCCAGCAAUGCCGCGUGCGGGAUGAAGGUCUUCGGAUUGUAAACCGCUGUCAAGAGGGACGAAACAAAUGACGGUACCUCUGGAGGAAGCCACGGCUAACUACGUGCCAGCAGCCGCGGUAAUACGUAGGUGGCGAGCGUUGUUCGGAUUCAUUGGGCGUAAAGGGUCCGCAGGUGGUUUGAUAAGUCUGACGUGAAAUACCGGAGCUCAACUCCGGAACUGCGUUGGAGACUGUUGAACUAGAGUAUCGGAGAGGAAAUUGGAAUUCCAGGUGUAGCGGUGGAAUGCGUAGAUAUCUGGAAGAACAUCGAAAGCGAAGGCAGAUUUCUGGACGAUGACUGACACUCAGGGACGAAAGCAUGGGGAGCAAACAGGAUUAGAUACCCUGGUAGUCCAUGCCCUAAACGUUGUAAACUUGAUAUGGGGAGAUUUACUCCUUUCCGUGUCGAAGCUAACGCGAUAAGUUUACCGCCUGGGAACUACGGCCGCAAGGCUAAAACUCAAAGGAAUUGACGGGGGCCCGCACAAGCGGUGGAGCAUGUGGCUUAAUUCGAGGCAACGCGAAGAACCUUACCCGGAUUUGACAUAUAUUGGAAUGCAAUGGAAACAUUGCCGCUCGCAAGAGUCGAUAUACAGGUGCUGCAUGGCUGUCGUCAGCUCGUGCCGUGAGGUGUUCGGUUAAGUCCGGCAACGAGCGCAACCCAUGUCAUCAGUUGCUACCAGGUAAAGCUGGGCACUCCGAUGAGACUGCCCGUGUUAAGCGGGAGGAAGGCGUGGAUGACGUCAAGUCCGUAUGGCCUUUAUAUCCGGGGCUGCACACGUGCUACAAUGGUCGGUACAGAAGGAAGCAAUGCCGCGAGGCGGAGCAGAUCCCCAAAACCGUACCUUAGUUCAGAUUGCAGUCUGCAACUCGACUGCAUGAAGCCGGAAUCGCUAGUAAAGGCGUAUCAGCUACGACGCCUUGAAUACGUUCCCGGGCCUUGUACACACCGCCCGUCACAUCAUGGGAGCUGAUUGCACCCGAAGUCGCUGCCCCGACCUGCAAAGGAGGGAGGCGCCUAAGGUGUGGUUAGUGACUGGGAUGAAGUCGUAACAAGGUAGCCGUUGGGGAACCAGCGGCUGGAUCACCUCCUUUCUAAGGA
rnacentral:rRNA from 1 species